UACGUAGGGUGCGAGCGUUAAUCGGAAUUACUGGGCGUAAAGCGUGCGCAGGCGGCGGCUCAAGUCAGGUGUGAAAUCCCCGGGCUUAACCUGGGAAUUGCGCUUGAAACUAGGCUGCUUGAGUGUGGCAGAGGGGGGUGGAAUUCCACGUGUAGCAGUGAAAUGCGUAGAGAUGUGGAGGAACACCGAUGGCGAAGGCAGCCCCCUGGGCCUGUACUGACGCUCAUGCACGAAAGCGUGGGGAGCAAACAGG
rnacentral:rRNA from 1 species